rnacentral:rRNA from 1 species
AAUUAGUUUGAAUCUAGCUCCGUAAUUAACUACUACCCUUCUUACCCUGCAUGCAAAGCUUUCUACUCCCGUAAAACAAAAUAGAAGUUAUGCUCAAAGCUUUCCUUCUUCUUUGCGCCUGCAGCAAAAAACUUUGUGCUAAUCAUUAACCCGCUGGAUCCAAAAAGGGUAAUUUAGAAUUGGGUAAUCUGAUGCCAGCAGCCGCGGUUACAUCUGACAAUUCUAGUUAAUAUUUCCGGAAAUGCGAAAUAACCAACCUUUUUGACUUAAAACAAAUUUCACUAGGAGUCCAAUCCGAGUUGAUCUAUUUACUCCCUAAUUUUCACCUCUUAUCUUCGCGAAAGUCUAUACAAAAACAAGGAUUUGAUACCCUUUUAUUGUUGACCUUAAAAAUAAAAUACAUCCAGGGCAUUAUUGGCACAUGCCAUAAACUCAAAGAUCUUGGCGGUAUCUCAACUUCUCAGGGGAGCCUGUUCAUUAAACUGAUAAUCCGCACUACCCCUUACCUUUUCUUGACCUCCAGCUUAUACAUCGCCGUCUAAAAUUUACCUAAAAAAGCACAAAAGUAUAGUUCUGUGACUCCCUUCGUCCUUACGUCAGGUCGACAUGUAGCUUAUGAAAAGGACUGAAUGGGCUACAAUUACCUAAUAAAAUGGACGCUUAUUUAGAACUAAGCAAAAACUGGACUUGAAAGUAAUUUUGCCUCAUUACGACAAAAUGAAUUUGUCAUCUGUGAUGUGUACAAAUCGCCCGUCACUCCCGUUGAAAAAUGGGAUAAGUCGUAACAUAGUAGGCGUAGCGGAAGCUGCGCCUAAGAUUUC